GGGUCACCUGACGGCAGAGCCCAUGUUCCAGAAGCCAAGUCAUUCCUGCUGUGGCUGGCUCCCACUGGUUCUGCAAAUUGUCCUGGAAGGAAUGUGGGGUGCACUACUGUGGGCCCCCAAAGCCCCAGGGAUGCCCCCCAUCUUGUGCUCACGGGAAGAGGGAGCUGACUAGCCAGCAUCUCUCCCUCUCCUAGCCCAUUUGUCCCGGGUCUCGGCCAUCUGUCCUCUCGGCCCUCCUAGUCCCUUUCCUCCCUGCCUCACGCUUUCAGAGCCAGAAAACUAGGCCACCCCGGGCCUGAGUGUGUUACCAGUUCCUGCAUCCCACUCCGGGGCCCCAGAGCUUCCCCUUUCCAAGGGGGCAGAAGUACCACGCAGACUGAACCCGAAUUUUAUGCUGCAGUUCUGACCUCCUAUGGCAUGAAUUAAGCCAUUUCUGGUCUCGUGAGGGAGUGAAUAGACUUUGCGGGCAGGCAUAGGCUGGACCCAGUUCUGAGGUGACGAAAUAUACUAGUAAGUUGGCCACUGGGACCCUGGCUGGGAAAGUGGAUGGUCUCUGCCACCCGCCCCAUGGCUGAGGGAGGCAGCCAGCACCAGGGGUGUUGGGCAGCUGAAGGCACAGCUCCUGAGGUCUGCAUAGGGGGAGCCUGGCGGUCUGGGCAGCGGCUGAGUCAUCUCUGAAGCUGCCGUAGCUGGAACAUCCAGUGCCCAGUGGUGGACAGGAGCGUAUCUGGGCCACCCGCUGCCGGCCUGUGUCUGACGUGAUCUCCUGGAAGAGACUGUGUCCCUGGCACUGGUCUGCAGCAUGGAGGCCUUGCAGAGCUUGGCGGAGGUGGUGAGGAGGCCCCUGAAACCUGUGGCCCAGGACCAACACACAAGGACUUGGGUCUUAGAGGCACAGGAUAGGCACGCUGAGACUUGAGGAGGAGGAACGAUCUACAUGAGGUUGUUUGUGGCAAAGCCGAGGACAUGAACCCCAGUUCCUGCAUCCCAGCCUGGGGCCUCCCAGCUGCCUGAGAGAACUCCAUCUUCCUGACUGCUGAUUGGAUUCCAACAGCUCUGUUUUAAAGAAUAAUUUUAUUGUCCUAAUUAUGCAUCUCAAUAUUCUAAACCAUCUUACAUCUGCUUUGGAAGCAGGCAGAGUGAAGGUCGUCAAUGCAUAUGUAAAAUCAUUAUGUUCCUUUUUUUCCCCCUUGGGAAGAAAUAAAAGGAUGAAUCUGG